GUUGAAGCUUUCAAAAAGUGAAGAAACUCUAUCAUGAAAGUGCAUUGCUUUUAAGGAGCCUUGUGAAGUUGCUUGCUAUAGUUGUGUCGAAGACGGAGAAGUAUACUUUGACAAUCGUAGUUUGAGUUUUUAAGCGCCAUAUUACUGAGGAUGUUGGAGCUGAUUUGAAUG